UUGGCUGUUUCAGUGUAACUAUGGCACGUUUUUCAACCUCCACAGCUAUGAACUUGAAACUUAGUACAUAUAACCCCCUAUACCAGAUAACCUCUGGUGCUGAAUUUCGGUCUGAUCUGAUUCUCAACUUGGCCACCAGGGGGCCGAAUGUGGAUACCUAAAAAGUGUGAUAAUUCGCUUAUCAAUAACUUGUUUUCAAUAAAACUUUCGUGGUGGGUACUAAUAGCAAGGAUACAUCAUAUAUCGUACGGGUUUUUAAUUUGACCUACUUUUCAAGGUUGCAGAGGUCAAAUGGCAUAAAUUGGCUGUUUCAGUGUAACUAUGGCACGUUUCUCAACCGCCACAGCUAUGAACUUGAAACUUGGUACAUAUAACCCCCUAUAUCAGAUAACGUCUUGUGCUGAAUAUCGGUCCGAUCUGAUUCUCAAUUUGGCCACCAGGGGGUCGAAUGUGGAUAUCUAAAAAGUGUGAUAUCUCGCUUGAUGACUUGUUUUCGAUAAAACUUUUGUGGUAGGUACUCAUAGCAAGGAUACAUCAUAUAUCAUAUGGGUUUUUAAUUUGACCUACUUGUCAAGGUCACAGAGGUCACAACGCAGACACAGAUAUGGCCGAAAUUGCAUGUUUCGUGUUUUUCGUGUUGUGGCAAUCCAAAGGUCGUGAGUUCAAACCCCGGUCAAGGACGGCCAAAAAUAUUUUUUUUAUUUUAUUAUUUUUUUUAUCUUUUCACUUUUGUCUUUUCUGACUUGUACCUUACAUUUUCUUGAUUUUUUAUUUAUUUGGUGCCAUAUCAUUAGGUGGCUAUCUUGGAAAUCAUUUUUUGUCAUUUUGUAGCCUAUUGUUGUCACUAGAGUGAUGAAAUUGUUGGUGGAUGUGUAUACAUAUCACCCUGGUUUAUCAUUUGACCUAUCAAUCAGGGAUCACUGAGGUCAAAGUUAAAAAUUCACCAUUGUCAUCAAGUGGCACGUUCUUCACUAUUAUUUUGACCUAGACUGUACAUGCAAGCUUGGUACCGCAAGUCUCGGAUUCACCACUUGGCCAGGGCCAGUUCUGAACAGAUCACAGAUGCAUGUGUGAAUAAGGAGAGGCCUACAUGAUCAUAGGAAAAAAGGCAGUUGUCUGAUUUGUCAUACCUUACAGAAAUAUUAGAACAGCUCAUAGAUCAUUCCAAAUUUAGGCCCCACAGGCCAAAGUGGCAGCUGCAAGUACCGCACAUCAAAUUAUGCUUAUGAUUAACCCACCACAAUCGGGUGGGAAACUUGUACCAUGUGACCAUUACUUCUUGGAUUUUAUUGAAAAUUAUUUCAAAGAUGCCACUAAAUUUGUGCACGAAAGGCGCCCUAUAAGUAUAGUUGGAGACCAUACAUAAAUAUGCUGUACUACUACUAUUGUUUCAAUUCAGUUAGGAGGAAAGGAUUUCUAUGUAGGGUCUGCUGUAUUUAGGUUCUGCAUCACUGAAACUGAAAAAAAUACAUAUUUGAAAAAUAUCAGAGAAUAAUUUAUUCAGUAAAGGCGCUCCAUACAUUGACCACUUCCUGUUUCUCAUCUUGCAAGAGACUGCACAUGUGCUUGAUUUCAGGAUUUUCAAAGUGUUAUUAGUGCAUUAUUGGUUGUUGCUAUUUCUAUGAGUCAUUGAGUGUAUUGCUGAUGCAGAUCAAGCUUAUUUAGGGCUACUGCGAUUGACACACUUAAGCAAGGUUGUGUGCUAUUGACACCAAAGUGGUGGUGGGGUUGUUGGAGGUUUUGAUAAUCUAACGCAGAUUUGGCUUGCACUAGCCACGACGACCUUCCACUGCUGACAAUUGACCAAGUGUCCUUUGUACGCCUGCCCUCCGAGUGAUAUUGGCUGUGCCUGCCAUAUAACUCUGGCAUUGGUGUUUAUUGCCUCUCACCAAGGCCCUCUCACAUUGGUGAGAACAUAGUUCAAGUGUCAGCGUACACUUGAACUUAAUCGCAGGUGUCAGCGUGCACCUG